AGAAAUGCAUCCAGUUCUUCCGGUAGACGUAAAGGACGGUGAUAAAGGCAUGUCAAAAUUUAGAAGCGCUCAGAUCCAGUGAACCUCUAACUGUAAUGAAUUAUUGCUUACGCACAUCGGGCCUGAGCUGAGCAGGCCUCCCACUUUGUUCCAGCAAAUCUACCAUGAAUUCUUCGCUGGGUCUUGGCUUAAGGCGAUGGUCGUUCUUUGAUUUCUAACAAUUUUCAGUCAUAACAAUUUUCCUUUCAUUGUUUCUUAUUUUCGAGCAUCUUUCUCCAUACAAGAAUCCCGAGGAGCAAAAGUUCUUGAUCGGAGUUGUUCUUAUGAUUCCUUGCUAUUCUGUAGAAUCGGCAGAGCUCGAGUCUUUUAAAAUGGAAUAUGCAAAUGCACGACUGGAAUGUAAUGCAGCUGAUGAACGUGCUAAUAUAUUGGCUUCUGAAGUCAUUGGUUUGGAAGAGAAGGUAACAAAGUUUUAAUGGGCCUCUGAGCACUUAUGGCUGAAUUUAAUGGUGCAGCAGUCCCAUCUGAUUCACUCUCUUAGUAGCUUGUUAUUGAACAAAUGCAGGUAUUGUAGCAUAGCAAUUUCUUGAGACACUUGAAGUUAAAAGGGGUUGCAGUUUUGGGGUUUCCGACAUUAAUAAGGGUUGUUGUCCACAUUUUGUUUAUUUGUUUGGUUUUUCUUUUUCAGUUAAUCAGCAUGCUUGUAUUAAUCCAGAUGCAACAGUAGUUGGAUGAUGAAUGAUAUAAUUGACUCGUUCAAGCUUCUGAUGGUUUUUGAACCAUUAACAAUAAGAAAUGAAUCAGAUAUGUUGAUGAAGAAUUGAACAUGUGGUUUCUAUUGGAUUUCUUCUGAAAUUAAGAAAUGAAUCAUUUUUCAUUUAUCA